CCCCGGAGGGAGUGCCAGCGCACUUGUCACCUGCAUGGGCCUCUUAUUUCCUGGGGUGGAGCCCACAGGAAGGCAGGGUGGUGGAGGCUCCCAGCCACCCAUUCCCAUCCCCAGGACGCCAACUCCCGGCAUGUCCUGCCAGCCUAUCCCUGCCGCUCCCAGGGUGUUCUGCCAGCCUGGCCCUGGGGCUUCCUGCUCUAGCUCCAGCCCCACCUCCACCCCUAGCAGCAGAGGGAGGCGAUGCUGGAAGGCUCUGAAGAGGAGCAGCAGAGGCUGCCUGACAGCCCUGUGCUGCUGCUGCCUGCCACCCUCAGGGUGCCACCAAAACAAGGUGGCCCCAAUGACCCCAACUCCCAGCAUGUCCUGCCAGCCUAUCCCUGCCGCUCCCAGGGUGUUCUGCCAGCCUGGCCCUGGGGCUUCCUGCUCUACCUCCAGCCCCACCUCCACCCCUAGCAGCAGAGGGAGGCGAUGCUGGGAAGGCUCUGAAGAGGAGCAGCAGAGGCUGCCUGAAAGCCCUGUGACGGAGCCUCUUUGGCUAACACCGCUCUCCACACACCACUCGCCACAUCUCCCCCUGUUUUAUAUAUUAUGAUCAAGGUCCCUUGAUCACGCAGAUAGACUGUGCCACUCCCUUACCUGUCAUGGAGUCAAGGGCGUCCACAGUACUCUUGCUUUGUCUUAGGUUGGUGAUUUCCUAUACUCCUCUUACCCGUCAUUGACUACCAGCCUCUGCAGGGGAUUACACCAUGUGUGUAGGCAGUGUAGCAUGUAAUUAUAGACCAUGAAUACUUCCAGCCAUCUUCAUUAAAGAAUGCAUAAACAUCUGUAGUAGCGCCGAAGGAUCAUGUAUCUAAGAGCACUCCUCCUCCAACAAUUACUAUGGAAAUGAGUUACCUCGUAAAUGCAGAUGUAGAUGGCAGAACUUUUCUAAUUUGCUCAAUAAAAUCCUGUGCAGCCUGGGCUCCAUCAAAUUUUAGGGGUUCUGCAUUUUGGGGAUCUAUAAUAUCCAAAUCUAAGAACACAUUCGCAAAACCAUUAUCUGAUUUUCUGUUCGGGUGACACAAUUGCUUAUUUGACAAUUAAAGCAAAUUACAUUAGCCUUGGUAUGAAGUGAGCCUCAUCAGCUCUCUCUGUUUUUCUUAGCUACUCUCUCUCUCUCUCUCUCUCUCUCUCUCUAGUAGGGGUUUAACUCUUUAUUUGCCAGAAACCUCACUGAGGCCCUUUAACUUUCCCUGCCUGUUGUCCAACUUUCCCUACAUUCCCUUUUUAAUCUGUGGCCUUCUAGAACGUAUUAGACUUUCUUUGGUUUUUGGUUUUUUGGGGUUUUUUUUAUAGCACUGAAGAUUAAACCCAGGGCCUUCACACUGAGCUACAUCCCCAGCCCCAACCUCCUUUUCAUUCUUUAUGCUUUGAGACAGGGUUUUGCUAAAUUCACGAAAUUCUCCAGACUGAGCUGAAACUUGCAGCCCUCCUGCCUCAGCCUCCCAGAGUGCUGGGAUUACAAGUGUCAGCCACCACAGCCAGUUUAGAACUUCCUCUUGGUUCUAGGUGUAAAGCUCAAGGUGUCCAGGUGGGAACUUUUAUUUAUUUAGUUCUUUCUCCCAUCUAUAUUCUUCUUUCCAGAAUGAGC
ensembl:lncRNA